UACGAAGGGUGCAAGCGUUAAUCGGAAUUAUUGGGCGUAAAGCGUGCGUAGGUGGUUUUUUAAGUCUUUUGUGAAAGCCCUGGGCUUAACCUGGGAACUGCAGGAGAAACUGGAAGGCUAGAGUCGGGUAGAGGGUUGCGGAAUUCCCGGUGUAGCGGUGAAAUACGUAGAGAUCGGGAGGAACAUCAAUGGCGAAGGCAGCAACCUGGAACCAGACUGACGCUGAGGCACGAAAGCGUGGGUAGCAAACAGG
rnacentral:rRNA from 1 species